rnacentral:rRNA from 1 species
CAGCCGCCGCGGUAAUACGGAGGAUCCAAGCGUUAUCCGGAAUUAUUGGGUUUAAAGGGUCCGUAGGCGGUCUUGUAAGUCAGUGGUGAAAGCCCAUCGCUCAACGGUGGAACGGCCAUUGAUACUGCAGGACUUGAAUUAUUGGGAAGUAACUAGAAUAUGUAGUGUAGCGGUGAAAUGCUUAGAGAUUACAUGGAAUACCAAUUGCGAAGGCAGGUUACUACCAAUUGAUUGACGCUGAUGGACGAAAGCGUGGGUAGCGAACAGGAUUAGAUACCCCUGUAGUCCCUGUCUCUUAUAC